AUAUCAAUAAGCGGAGGAAAAGAAACUAACAAGGAUUCCCUUAGUAACUGCGAGUGAAGAGGGAAGAGCUCAAAUUUGAAAUCUGGCGGUUCUUGCCGUCCGAGUUGUAGUUUAGAGAAGUGUUAUCCGCGCUGCCUGUGCAUAAGUUUCUUGGAAAAGAACAUCAUAGAGGGUGACAAUCCCGUCUUUGGCACAGAUCCCAGGGCUUUUGUGAUACGCUCUCGACGAGUCGAGUUGUUUGGGAAUGCAGCUCUAAAUGGGUGGUAAAUUCCAUCUAAAGCUAAAUAUUGGCGAGAGACCGAUAGCGAACAAGUACCGUGAGGGAAAGAUGAAAAGAACUUUGAAAAGAGAGUUAAACAGUAC
rnacentral:rRNA from 1 species